rnacentral:rRNA from 1 species
GCCUAAACCUAGUUCUUUAUUGACACCAACCCUCACCAUAAACUAAACAAAACAUUUGACACGAUUCGUAGAUGAGAUCGAACAUCGCACAAAGACACAAUAGAGCCCAGUACCGCAAGGGAAAGAUGAAAAAUCACCACAUAAGCCCAAAAAAGCAAAGACAAAACCUUGUACCUCUCGCAUCAUGGUUUAGCAAGAAAACUCAAACUAGAAGAAUCGAGCUUGUCCCCCCGAAACCAAGUGAGCUACCCCCAGGCAGCUGAAAUCGAGCCAAUCCCCCUCUGUAGCAAAAGAGCGGAAAGACCCCGGGGUAGUGGUGAAAAGCCUACCGAACUUGGCGAUAGCUGGUCGCUCAAAAAAGAAUAUAAGUUCUACCUUAACAACGUCCGCCACCUUUACCGUUUAUAAAGCUUAAGGAAAUUCAUUAGGGGUACAGCCCUAAUGAAACGGAGUACAAUCCGAAUCAGAGAGGAAAAACCAAGCCCUAACACCCGUAGGCCCUAAAGCAGCCACCAAUAAAUAUAGCGUCAAAGCAUCACCGUACAAAAUACCUAACCAAAACCUCACCUCCAGCGCCACCUACGAGCCACCCUAUAAUUAUAGAAAAGCCAAUGCUAAAACUACUAACAAGAACUAUUUCUCCAAACGCGCCCAUCAGCCAGAAUGAAACCGCCACUGGCAAUUAUCAGACCACAAAACACAGGCCAAGACCCAAACUUUCUAGCCUCAAACACACUGUGACCCCAACACAGGCACGUUCACAAAAAAGAUGAAAAGUUAUAAAAGGAACUCGGCAAACCAUGACUCCAACUGUUUACCAAAAACAUAACCUUUAGCCAAACAAGUAUUAAAGGCGAUGCCUGCCCAGUGAGAAAAUCUUUAACGGCCGCGGUACCCUAACCGUGCAAAGGUAGCAUAAUCACUUGUCCACUAAUUAUGGACUAGUAUGAACGGCCACAUGAGAGUCAAACUGUCUCUUAUAACCCAUCAGUGAAACUGAUCUUACAGUCCAAAAGCUGUAAUAGACCCAUAAGACGAGAAGACCCCGUGAAACUUCAAAACCACCUCAGCCUACCCCCCCUGAGGCCACUUUCAGUUGGGGCGACUUUGGAAAACACAAAACUUCCAAACACAGGGCAUUCAACCCACACUCCGGCCCACACGCCAGCCAUACGAUCCAGUAUAUCUGAUAAAUGAACCAAGCUACUCCAGGGAUAACAGCGCCAUCUUCUUCAAGAGCCCAUAUCAAAAAGAAGGUUUACGACCUCGAUGUUGGAUCAGGACACCCAAGCGGCGCAGCCACUACUAAAGGUUCGUUUGUUCAACGAUUAACAGU